AUCGGUUUGGAAGACAGACCUUAUGAAAGCAGUUUUAGUAAAGCAGUCCUCAGUUCAAGAGUUAUCCAAAGAUACCCUUCUUCGUGAGCCUCCUCCUAAGUGCCAAAUAAGAUACUCUCUAAUUACAGGCCAUUAUCGCCGCGCUAAGUGGCUCAUCUAUUAAGGAAUUAUCUAUGUCUAAUAAAAUGACUGGUUUAGUAAAAUGGUUCAACUCUGAUAAAGGUUUUGGCUUUAUCACUCCGGACGACGGCAGCAAAGAUGUAUUCGUACACUUCUCUGCAAUCCAGAGCGACAGCUACAAAACCCUGGAUGAAGGUCAGAAAGUUUCCUUCACCAUCGAAAACGGCGCUAAAGGCCCAGCAGCUGGCAACGUUACUGCCCUGUAAGCCGCGCUGAUUAUCAGCAAGCCUUACAACCGCGAUGACGGCGAUAGCCU
rfam:Enterobacter cloacae S611 EDP2.NODE_1914, whole genome shotgun sequence.